GACGAACGCUGGCGGCGUGCUUAACACAUGCAAGUCGAACGGAAAGGCCCUGCUUUUGUGGGGUGCUCGAGUGGCGAACGGGUGAGUAACACGUGAGUAACCUGCCCUUGACUUUGGGAUAACUUCAGGAAACUGGGGCUAAUACCGGAUAGGAGCUCCUGCUGCAUGGGGGGGGUUGGAAAGUUUCGGCGGUUGGGGAUGGACUCGCGGCUUAUCAGCUUGUUGGUGGGGUAGGGGCUUACCAAGGCUUUGAGGGGUAGCCGGCCUGAGAGGGUGACCGGCCACAUUGGGACUGAGAUACGGCCCAGAAUCCUACGGGAGGCAGCAGUGGGGAAUAUUGCACAGUGGGCGGAAGCCUGAUGCAGCAACGCCGGGUGCGGGAUGACGGCCUACGGGUUGUAAACCGCUUUCGACUGUGACGAAGCCUGCGUGACGGUAAUGGGUAAAGAAGCACCGGCUAACUACGUG
rnacentral:rRNA from 1 species